AUUGAACGCUGGCGGCAGGCCUAACACAUGCAAGUCGAACGAGUGGCGGACGGGUGAGUAAUGUCUGGGAAACUGCCUGAUGGAGGGGGAUAACUACUGGAAACGGUAGCUAAUACCGCAUACCAUCGGAUGUGCCCAGAUGGGAUUAGCUAGUAGGUGGGGUAAAGGAUCACCUAGGCGACGAUCCCUAGCUGGUCUGAGAGGAUGACCAGCCACCCUGGAACGGAGACACGGUCCAGACUCCUACGGUAGGCAGCAGUGGGGAAUAUUGCACAAUGGGAGCAACCCUGAUGCAGCCCUGCCGCGUGUAGGAAGAAGGGCUUCGGGUUGUAAAGUACUUUCAGCGGGUAGGCGUUACCAGAAGAAGAAGCACCGGCUAACUCCGUGCCAGCAGCCGCGGUAAUAC
rnacentral:rRNA from 1 species